CUGUGAGACAGGUGCUGCAUGGCUGUCGUCAGCUCGUGUUGUGAAAUGUUGGGUUAAGUCCCGCAACGAGCGCAACCCUUAUCCUUUGUUGCCAGCGGUCCGGCCGGGAACUCAAAGGAGACUGCCAGUGAUAAACUGGAGGAAGGUGGGGAUGACGUCAAGUCAUCAUGGCCCUUACGACCAGGGCUACACACGUGCUACAAUGGCGCAUACAAAGAGAAGCGACCUCGCGAGAGCAAGCGGACCUCAUAAAGUGCGUCGUAGUCCGGAUUGGAGUCUGCAACUCGACUCCAUGAAGUCGGAAUCGCUAGUAAUCGUGGAUCAGAAUGCCACGGUGAAUACGUUCCCGGGCCUUGUACACACCGCCCGUCACACCAUGGGAGUGGGUUGCAAA
rnacentral:rRNA from 1 species